UACGGAGGGAGCUAGCGUUGUUCGGAAUUACUGGGCGUAAAGCGCACGUAGGCGGCUUUACAAGUCAGAGGUGAAAGCCUGGAGCUCAACUCCAGAAUUGCCUUUGAGACUGUAUCGCUUUGAACACGGGAGAGGUGAGUGGAAUUCCGAGUGUAGAGGUGAAAAUUCGUAGAUAUUCGGAAGAACACCAGUGGCGAAGGCGGCUCACUGGACCGUUGUUGACGCUGAGGUGCGAAAGCGGUGGGGAGCAAACAG
rnacentral:rRNA from 1 species